rnacentral:rRNA from 1 species
UUUAGCAUGGGAUAAUGGAAUAGGACGUGUGGUUCUAUUUUGUUGGUUUCUAGGACCGCCGUAAUGAUUAAUAGGGACAGUCGGGGGCAUCAGUAUUCAAUUGUCAGAGGUGAAAUUCUUGGAUUUAUUGAAGACUAACUACUGCGAAAGCAUUUGCCAAGGAUGUUUUCAUUAAUCAGGAACGAAAGUUAGGGGAUCGAAGACGAUCAGAUACCGUCGUAGUCUUAACCAUAAACUAUGCCGACUAGGGAUCGGACGGUGUUAUUUUUUGACCCGUUCGGCACCUUACGAGAAAUCAAAGUGCUUGGGCUCCAGGGGGAGUAUGGUCGCAAGGCUGAAACUUAAAGAAAUUGACGGAAGGGCACCACCAGGGGUGGAGCCUGCGGCUUAAUUUGACUCAACACGGGGAAACUCACCAGGUCCAGACACAAUGAGGAUUGACAGAUUGAGAGCUCUUUCUUGAUUUUGUGGGUGGUGGUGUGGCCGUUUUUAGUUGGUGGAGUGAUUUGUCUGCUUAAUUGCGAUAACGAACGAGACCUUAACCUGCUAAAUAGCCCGUAUAGCUAGGCAGUACGCUGGCUUCCUAGAGGGACUAUCGGCUCAAGCCGAUGGAAGUGUGAGGCAAUAGCAGGUCAGGGAUGCCCUUAAAUGUUCUGGGCGGCACGCGCGCUACACUGACGGAGCCAGUGAGUACUUCCUGNCUACAAGUANNNGAUNU